AUUGAACGCUGGCGGCAGGCCUAACACAUGCAAGUCGAGCGGCAGCGGAAAGUAGCUUGCUACUUUGCCGGCGAGCGGCGGACGGGUGAGUAAUGUCUGGGAAACUGCCUGAUGGAGGGGGAUAACUACUGGAAACGGUAGCUAAUACCGCAUAACGUCGCAAGACCAAAGAGGGGGACCUUCGGGCCUCUUGCCAUCAGAUGUGCCCAGAUGGGAUUAGCUAGUAGGUGGGGUAACGGCUCACCUAGGCGACGAUCCCUGGCUGGUCUGAGGGGAUGACCAGCCACACUGGAACAGAGGCACGGUCCAGACUACUACGGGAGGCAGCAGUGGGGAAUAUUGCACAAUGGGCGAAAGCCUGAUGCAGCCAUGCCGCGUGUAUGAAGAAGGCCUUCGGGUUGUAAAGCACUUUCAGCGGGGAGGAAGGUGUUGAGGUUAAUAACCUCAGCAAUUGACGUUACCCGCAGAAGAAGCACCGGCUAACUCCGUGCCAGCCGCCGCCGUAAAAC
rnacentral:rRNA from 1 species